ensembl:lncRNA
GGCAGGGAUGUAGAGUGUGGAGUUGGGAAGAGAAGAGAAGAGGAAAGGAGCAGAGGGAGGAGAAGGAGAGAACGGAAGGGGAGCGCAAGAAAAAUAGAGGAGUCAAUUGAGAGUGAGAGAGAACCUGUGAAAGUGGCUGACCUCCCACCACACACUCAGUGGUAAAGGAGAUGUCAUCCAGGGCGAUGUCAGUCCACACGUCACCCCCCCCACUUCUGCCUGGAAGGUCACUCUGAAGGGGGCCGUGUUGGACAGGAUCAUACUGGCAUAGAAACACCGAUCACCAUGGUUACUGCUGGCGGCCCACAUCAGCAGGCGGGUCCCACUUGGACCAACCAUGUAGACCUGAGUGACACGCCACGAGAUUUCAGCACUAUAAAUGUCACUUAGCCAUGACUUAACAAGGGAGAGACACAACUCAUAGGUGACGCAAUCCAAUACUGGCUGGGGAUGGGUUACGUG